GUGACGAAGCGACGCCGCGUGUGGGAAGAAGGCCUUCGGGUUGUAAACCACUGUCAGGAGUUAAGAAAUGUAAGGGUGCUAAUAGUAUCCUUACUUGACUAAGGCUCCAGAGGAAGCCACGGCUAACUCUGUGCCAGCAGCCGCGGUAAUACAGAGGUGGCAAGCGUUGUUCGGAAUUAUUGGGCGUAAAGAGCACGUAGGCGGUUCUGCAAGUCGGCUGUGAAAGCCUUCCGCUCAACGGAAGAACAGCAGUUGAUACUACAGGACUAGAGUGCGGGAGGGGAGAGUGGAACUUCUGGUGGAGCGGUGAAAUGCGUAGAUAUCAGAAGGAACGCCGGCGGCGAAAGCGACUCUCUGGCCCGUAACUGAUGCUGAGUGUGCGAAAGCUAGGGGAGCAAACGGGAUUAGAUACCCGGUAGUCCUAGCCGUAACGAU
rnacentral:rRNA from 1 species